rnacentral:misc_RNA from 1 species
UCCGGUUUGGCACCGGCAGUCCCCCCAGAGUCCUCGGCGUUACCCGGUAGCAACUGGAGGCGGGGGUUGCGCUCGUUGCGGGACUUAACCCAACAUCUCACGACACGAGCUGACGACGGCCAUGCAGCACCUGUGCUGGAGUCCCGAAGGAGGCCCCUGAUCUCUCAAGGGUUUCCCCAGCAUGUCAAGCCCAGGUAAGGUUCUUCGCGUUGCGUCGAAUUAAACUACAUGCUCCACCGCUUGUGCAGGCCCCCGUCAAUUCCUUUGAGUUUCGGUCUUGCGACCGUACUCCCCAGGCGGAGUGUUUCACGCGUUAGCUGGGCCCCUGAUCCACGUAGACCAAGGGCGAACACUCAUCGUUUACGGCAUGGACUAC